GGGGGGGGGGGGCGGCGGGCGGAACACGUGCGGGGCGAGCGGGGGGGCGCAGCGUUGGGUGGGUGGAUGAGUGGCGAACGGGUGAGUAACACGGGAGUAACCGGCCUCCUUCUUUGGGAUAACGCCCGGAAACGGGUGCUAAUACUGGAUAUUCACUGGUCUUCGCAUGGGGGCUGGUGGAAAGGGUUUUUCUGGUGGGGGAUGGGCUCGCGGCCUAUCAGCUUGUUGGUGGGGUGAUGGCCUACCAAGGCUUUGACGGGUAGCCGGCCUGAGAGGGUGACCGGUCACAUUGGGACUGAGAUACGGCCCAGACUCCUACGGGAGGCAGCAGUGGGGAAUAUUGCACAAUGGGCGCAAGCCUGAUGCAGCGACGCCGCGUGAGGGAUGGAGGCCUUCGGGUUGUGAACCUCUUUCGCUCAUGGUCAAGCCGCAACAAUGGUUGUGGUGAGGGUAGUGGGUAAAGAAGCGCCGGCUAACUACGUG
rnacentral:rRNA from 1 species